rnacentral:rRNA from 1 species
ACGAACGCUGGCGGCAUGCCUCAUACAUGCAAGUCGAACGCCCCGCAAGGGGAGUGGCGGAAGGGUGAGUAACGCGUAGGAAUCUUCCUUGGAUUGGGGGAUAACCUGAGGAAACUCGGGCUAAUACCGCAUAUUGCCGAAAGGUGAAAGAAUUUUGAUCCGAGAUGAGCCUGCGUAUGAUUAGCUAGUUGGUGGGGUAAUGGCCUACCAAAGCGAUGAUCAUUAGCUGGUCUGAGAGGAUGACCAGCCACAAUGGAACUGAGAUACGGUCCAUACUUCUACGGAAGGCAGCAGUAGGGAAUUUUGCGCAAUGGGCGAAAGCCUGACGCAGCAAUGCCGCGUGUAGGAAGAAGCAUCUUGGUGUGUAAACUACUGUCGGCGGGGAAAAACAAAAUGAUUGUACCCGCAGAGGAAGCAUCGGCUAACUACGU